UACGGAGGAUCCAAGCGUUAUCCGGAAUUAUUGGGUUUAAAGGGUUCGCAGGCGGUCUUUUAAGUCAGAGGUGAAAGCCUACAGCUCAACUGUAGAAUGGCCUUUGAUACUGAAAGACUUGAGUUAUUGUGAAGUGGUUAGAAUGUGUGGUGUAGCGGUGAAAUGCAUAGAUAUCACACAGAAUACCGAUUGCGAAGGCAGAUCACUAACAAUAUACUGACGCUCAUGAACGAAAGCGUGGGGAGCGAAC
rnacentral:rRNA from 1 species